CAUUAGCUGCAAGUCCAGAAGGGAAUUUACAGAGGAAGGCAAAGCCAGAAGCUGCUCCUGAUGAGCCUGACUUUAAAGGGAAAACCAGAUUCCCCUGUUGGCACGUGUGAAUCCCCCUCCCGCGGUCCUGCUGAAGUUUCCCAGCCAGAAGAGGGACAUGUAACACGACAGCAUUGGCUUGUUCGUAUGAAGUAGUGAUGCGCCCACUGCUGACAAAAGAAGGCAGGGAAAAAAAUCUACAGAUGCCUGGAAAUGUUUUUGUAUCAGUCCCAGUGGCCUGCCAUGGAAGAUAUAUAGCCACUUCUAAGAAUUUGACAACACUUCAGCAACAAUUAUCCAGACAGCUGCCUGUGGCCAUCAGGAAUGGAUGCACAUGGAAGAGUCUGGGCAAACACACAUCUGUAAGUAAGUUUGUGAUUUAAACAAAUCACCCUUGCAUUUGUGUUUGUGCCUCUAAACAGCAGGCUUCCUUUUGUAAUUUUGGCC
rnacentral:lncRNA from 1 species